GUGCCAGCCGCCGCGGUAAUACGAAGGGGGCUAGCGUUGUUCGGAAUCACUGGGCGUAAAGCGCACGUAGGCGGACGCUUAAGUCAGGGGUGAAAUCCCGAGGCUCAACCUCGGAACUGCCUUUGAUACUGGGUGUCUUGAGUCCGGGAGAGGUGAGUGGAACUGCGAGUGUAGAGGUGAAAUUCGUAGAUAUUCGCAAGAACACCAGUGGCGAAGGCGGCUCACUGGCCCGGAACUGACGCUGAGGUGC
rnacentral:rRNA from 1 species